rnacentral:rRNA from 1 species
GGUUAAGCGACUAAGCGUACACGGUGGAUGCCCUGGCAGUCAGAGGCGAUGAAGGGCGUGCUAAUCUGCGAUAAGCGCCGGUAAGGUGAUAUGAACCGUUAUAACCGGCGAUACCCGAAUGGGGAAACCCAGUGUGACUCGUCACACUAUCAUUAACUGAAUCCAUAGGUUAAUGAGGCGAACCGGGGGAACUGAAACAUCUAAGUACCCCGAGGAAAAGAAAUCAACCGAGAUUCCCCCAGUAGCGGCGAGCGAACGGGGAGGAGCCCAGAGCCUGAAUCAGCAUGUGUGUUAGUGGAAGCGUCUGGAAAGGCGCGCGAUACAGGGUGACAGCCCCGUACACAAAAGCGCAUGUGCUGUGAGCUCGAUGAGUAGGGCGGGACACGUGGUAUCCUGUCUGAAUAUGGGGGACCAUCCUCCAAGGCUAAAUACUCCUGACUGACCGAUAGUGAACCAGUACCGU